rnacentral:rRNA from 1 species
AUACGUAGGGGGCGAGCGUUGUCCGGAAUGAUUGGGCGUAAAGGGCGCGUAGGCGGCCCGGUAAGUCUGGAGUGAAAGUCCUGUUUUUAAGAUGGGAAUUGCUUUGGAUACUGUCGGGCUUGAGUACAGGAGAGGUAAGUGGAAUUCCCAGUGUAGCGGUGAAAUGCGUAGAGAUUGGGAGGAACACCAGUGGCGAAGGCGACUUACUUGACUGUAACUGACGCUGAGGCUCGAAAGUGUGGGGAGCAAACAGGAUUAGAUACCCUGGUAGUCCACACUGUAAACGAUGAAUGCUAGGUGUAGGGGGUAUCGACCCCUUCUGUGCCGCAGUCAACACAAUAAGCAUUCCGCCUGGGGAGUACGGCCGCAAGGUUGAAACUCAAAUGAAUUGGCGGGG